AUUGGACGCUGGCGGCAUGCUUUACACAUGCAAGUCGAACGGCAGCGCGGGCUUCGGCCUGGCGGCGAGUGGCGAACGGGUGAGUAAUACAUCGGAACGUGCCCAGUAGUGGGGGAUAGCUCGGCGAAAGCCGGAUUAAUACCGCAUACGACCUGAGGGUGAAAGCGGGGGAUCUUCGGACCUCGCGCUAUUGGAGCGGCCGAUGGCAGAUUAGCUAGUUGGUGGGGUAAAGGCCUACCAAGGCGACGAUCUGUAGCUGGUCUGAGAGGACGACCAGCCACACCGGGACUGAGACACGGCCCAGACUCCUACGGGAGGCAGCAGUGGGGAAUUUUGGACAAUGGGCGAAAGCCUGAUCCAGCAAUGCCGCGUGUGUGAUGAAGGCCUUCGGGUUGUAAAGCACUUUUGGCGGGAACGAAAAGGACUGUGCCAAUACCACGGUUCGAUGACGGUACCCGCAGAAUAAGCACCGGCUAACUACGUG
rnacentral:rRNA from 1 species